rnacentral:tRNA from 1 species
GGGGACGUAGCUCAGUCGGUCAGAGCCUCAGGGUCGGGAGUUCGAGCCUCCCCGUCCCCUCCA